rnacentral:rRNA from 1 species
CGGUAGGGUGCGAGCGUUGUCCGGAAUUAUUGGGCGUAAAGAGCUCGUAGGCGGUUUGUCGCGUCGACUGUGAAAACUGGGGGCUUAACUCUCAGCUUGCAGUCGAUACGGGCAGACUUGAGUUCGGUAGGGGAGACUGGAAUUCCUGGUGUAGCGGUGAAAUGCGCAGAUAUCAGGAGGAACACCGGUGGCGAAGGCGGGUCUCUGGGCCGAUACUGACGCUGAGGAGCGAAAGCGUGGGGAGCGAACAGGAUUAGAUACCCUGGUAGUCCACGCUGUAAACGUUGGGCGCUAGGUGUGGGGGACAUUCACGUUCUCCGUGCCGUAGCUAACGCAUUAAGCGCCCCGCCUGGGGAGUACGGCCGCAAGGCUA